CGUACGCUUCUUUUUCCACCGGAGCUUGCUCCACCGGAAAAAGAAGAGUGGCGAACGGGUGAGUAACACGUGGGUAACCUGCCCAUCAGAAGGGGAUAACACUUGGAAACAGGUGCUAAUACCGUAUAACAAUCGAAACCGCAUGGUUUUGAUUUGAAAGGCGCUUUCGGGUGUCGCUGAUGGAUGGACCCGCGGUGCAUUAGCUAGUUGGUGAGGUAACGGCUCACCAAGGCCACGAUGCAUAGCCGACCUGAGAGGGUGAUCGGCCACAUUGGGACUGAGACACGGCCCAAACUCCUACGGGAGGCAGCAGUAGGGAAUCUUCGGCAAUGGACGAAAGUCUGACCGAGCAACGCCGCGUGAGUGAAGAAGGUUUUCGGAUCGUAAAACUCUGUUGUUAGAGAAGAACAAGGAUGAGAGUAACUGUUCAUCCCUUGACGGUAUCUAACCAGAAAGCCACGGCUAACUACGUGCCAGCAGCCGCGGUAAUACGUAGGUGGCAAGCGUUGUCCGGAUUUAUUGGGCGUAAAGCGAGCGCAGGCGGUUUCUUAAGUCUGAUGUGAAAGCCCCCGGCUCAACCGGGGAGGGUCAUUGGAAACUGGGAGACUUGAGUGCAGAAGAGGAGAGUGGAAUUCCAUGUGUAGCGGUGAAAUGCGUAGAUAUAUGGAGGAACACCAG
rnacentral:rRNA from 1 species